GGGGCUGAUACUGGAUUCGACGGGAUUCACGAACUCCUAAGUGCAUGCCGAGGGGCGGUUGGCCUCGUAAAAAGCCGCAAAAAAGUAGUCGCAAACGAC
rnacentral:tmRNA from 1 species